UACGUAGGGUGCAGGCGUUAAUCGGAAUUACUGGGCGUAAAGCGUGCGUAGGCGGUUUGUUAAGACAGGUGUGAAAUCCCCGGGCUUAACCUGGGAACUGCGCUUGUUACUGGCAGACUGGAGCGUGGCAGAGGGGGGUGGAAUUCCAGGUGUAGCAGUGAAAUGCGUAGAUAUCAGGAAGAACACCCGUGGCGAAGGCGGUUCUCUGGGACGGUACUGACGCUGAGACGCGAAAGCGUGGGGAGCGAACAGG
rnacentral:rRNA from 1 species